rnacentral:rRNA from 1 species
UACAGAGGCCUCGAGCGUUAGGCGGAAUCACUGGGCUUAAAGCGUGUGUAGGCGGACUUCUAAGUACCUUGUGAAAUCCCACGGCUUACCCGUGGAACUGCUCGGUAUACUGGUUGUCUUGAGCCACCUAGGGGCGAGUGGAACAAAUGGUGGAGCGGUGAAAUGCGUAGAUAUCAUUUGGAGCGCCAAUGGUGAAAACAACUCGCUGGGGGUGUGCUGACGCUGAGACACGGAAAGCCCAGGGGGAGCGAACGGG